rnacentral:misc_RNA from 1 species
AGUGGGAGCGGGCUUGCUCGCGAUGCAGGCAGCGCGGUCUGUCUGGUCGAGCGCGCUGAUGCAAUCGCGAGCAAGCCCGCUCCCACA